GGGGGCAUAGCUCAGUUGGUUAGAGCGCUUGCUUGACAUGCAAGAGGUCACAGGUUCAAGUCCUGUUGUUCCCACCA
rnacentral:tRNA from 1 species